AGCAGCCGCGGUAAUUCCAGCUCCAAUAGCGUAUAUUAAAGUUGCUGCAGUUAAAAAGCUCGUAGUUGAAUUUCGGGAUCAAUAUGUUGGUCGUGCCUCGGUACGUACUAGCUUAUUGGUUUCUCCCUUCUGACGAACCAUGAUGUCAUUUAUUUGGUGUUAUGGGAAAUCAGGACUGUUACUUUGAAAAAUUAGAGUGUUUAAAGCAGGCUCACGCUUGAAUACAUUAGCAUGGAAUAAUGAAAUAGGACGUUUGAUUCUAUUUUGUUGGUUUCUAGGAUCGACGUAAUGAUUAAUAGGGAUAGUUGGGGGCAUUAGUAUUCAAUUGUCAGAGGUGAAAUUCUUGGAUUUAUUGAAGACUAACUACUGCGAAAGCAUUUGCCAAGGAUGUUUUCAUUAAUCAAGAACGAAAGUUAGGGGAUCGAAGACGAUCAGAUACCGUCGUAGUCUUAACCAUAAACUAUGCCGACUAGGGAUCGGAUGAUGUUAAUUUUUAAUGACUCAUUCGGCGCCUUAACC
rnacentral:misc_RNA from 1 species